UUCUUUCUUCUCUCGGGAUCCUGCCUUCUUGAUAGGAUAUUGAAGUCCUAUCCAGUUUUUUUUCCUGCUGCACUUACGUGAUUUUCAUAAAGGGCUUUGUCUGUUUUGAUUACUACUUAAUAUUUUCUUUUUCCCCUCCUCAAGUUGUGACUUCUUGCUUGUUCUCUCAGAAAUCACUGUCUACUUCCGAAUCAAAGCUGAGAGUUUCCUGGGAAUUGAUUUCACUCUCUCUUCUUCUGAAGAGGCUUUUUAGAAGUGAUUACUUUUUCUAGGACAGGCUGCUCCAGUUAAACUCUCUUUGCAGAACUUCCUUUGUUACAGCAUUUCAGGUGUUCCAGGAUGGUGCAAUGUCCGAACAUCCUCUGACUGAAGUGGAAGAGAAGACAAGGUACUCAUCUGUACAGGGAACACAGCAUUUGCUUUGUCUUUGUUUUCUUGAUAUUUUAAUGUAUGUUGUUUCUACUCUGUCACUAAACUUUCUUUUAUCAUAUUCACAUUGCGUUAGGAAAAAGAAAAACAGUCACAAAGAAAAGACUUGAAGGCAAUUUUUUUGUGUAAUUAAGCACUUGAAAACUCAAUUUCAACUUGUCUGCAUCAACACAUACUGUGAUAUCUUUACAUUUCUAAUUUUUUACUGCAAGUCAUUCUUCUUCUCUCAGUGUACUGUAUAGGACUCCUUGCUGCCCGUGAUUAACAGGUCAAAUGUUGUCUACUGUGCUUAUUGAACAGGAUCACAGGGAAGGGAAGAUGCCUGAUGGAGGUGAUCCUUCCUUGUCUGUUCCUUACUUCAAGGAAAACUUCAAACGGGAUCUAAAAGCAAAUGACAGUUGUUGACUACAGUAUUUAUUUGCAAACUUCAAUGGGAAGCUGGGUUCAAGAUUCUUGGCAUGCCUGACUAUGCUUACAUUCAGAUGACUGGAGGAAAUUACAGAACCACACCUGGCUUUGUGCUGCAGGAGAUAUUUGGAAUGAGAAUAUGCAGCCUCUGCUGACUGUCUCCACCACCACCAACAAAGUCCCCAGGGGAUGCUUUUGAGCUCUGCAGCAGUGAUUUGUUGUGCCCCUGGCAGAACAGGAGGUCUGAGCUGCAGAAACUCCAUCACAGCAGACCCAGGUGUUUAGUGCACAGCCUGAAACCCACAGUGGAUAAGGCAGCAGACACCCACCCCAGCAUGUGGCACAGAGAUGGCCUUGGUGGGGAGGCUGCAAUGAGCCCAAACUGGGCAUUACUGCCUGGUUCUGAAUACACACUGGAGUGGAAGUCCUCCACUUUGCAAGGCAGCACUGUGAGCCCAUCAAUGCCCUUGUUCUUCCUUAAAAAAUUUUAAUGCAAAUCCUAAUUUAGAAAUUUUUUCCCACUGCAGAUUUGCCAGUAACUGUUACAAGCUAUUUCCUUUCUGCAGAACAGCUGCUUAUACUCAAUCUUAUUUAAUUGAGACACAAAUAGAAGUAGAGAUAUUCCAAAGCCGGUUUGUAGCUAUUUGCAUAGGUUAAUUUCAGGGUUUUUUUGGAAGAACAUUUUCUCUGUUUCACUAUUACAACUUUUCCUGUAUUAUUUAUUUUUCUCUCUGCUGCUAGAAUUGAAAUCUCAAUCACAUAAGAUCACCACGUUGCGGAGAUCACUUGUGUGCCUUUUUUAAGGAUCUUCCCUGCACUUAUCAAGAAUCUCCUGCAGUUCACAGUUCAGUGACCAUGGUACAUGUAACACAAUGUUCAUCCUUUCCAAGUGAGCAAUGCUCUGCGCCCUACAGCUUAGAGGUCAGCUGGGUCUGUAGAAGUAAGCUACUGCACUUGAGAUUUUAGCAGUGGGAUAUUUGCCCUCUGACUGUAUUUGUGAACUCAUCGCAGCUGUAGCACAGUACUGUGGUAUUUCCUGCUCCAGGGAUUGCAUAUGCCAGGCAGAGGUGCUGUGCCAGGGCACUGCAGAGGCAGGAGGUGCCAGACAGAAGCCAAAUGCACCUUCAGUUUCUGGGUAUAAAUCUUGACAAUCCUGAGUAAAGCCAAAGACUUCUGCGAAGACCAGGAUUUAGCCCUGAAAAUAUUCAAGAGAAUGAGCUUUAUAAGUAGGUAUGUCUGACAGAGCAUAAGAUAAUGAACAUAAACAUUCUGUUUGAGUCCUGCCAAUGUUCAGGAAAAUAGGGGUUAAUGUAACAAGAGAAACACAGAGCUGCUGUUGAAUAACAUAUGUGGAGUUGUUAAAAGGGCAUCAGCACUGUUCUUCCUAAUUAGAACAACUGGCAAUAGUCCAGGCUUUUGUCUAGCUGCUUGGGUCAAAAGUGUAGCAACAGUCUGAAUGUAAUAUAAAAUAAACAUCACAAUGGGUAUUAUACUGAGUGUAAUAAUAGUUUGGCAUGUAAUGCAUCAUUAUCUCUCAUUAAUUUUCAACUGGCACGAUACAAAAAAACACAGGGCCUUGCCAUUGAGUUUAAACGUGGCUGGCUCUUGAAUUCACAGAAUUUUCUUUCAAUGUUUAACAAUUGAUUCUUCCAUCACAAUCUUUAUGCUUUAACCUUUGCUGAUACAGGAAUGGACUUCUUUAAAUCUCUAGCAGAAAAGAGGGACAGAAAAUCUAAAUUAUAGCUCCAUAAAUAGAAAUAGAAUAAAUGUAAAACAUUUUGUUCCCAUGUGUAAUUUGUAGAAAUUAUUUUCUCAUGAUCACAAAGCCUUCAGGCUGAAUUUCAGUUGCCAGAAGCAUGCUGGUUGUGAAGUAUAGUGUUCGAAAUUUAAAAAAAAAAAAAAGUUGAGAGAUAAAUGUUUAAUUUGUGACUAUCAGUCACUUCACAUUUCUGAACGAUUGUUGAGUACCCAUAAGAUGGCUGUGAUUGCCAAUCCAGUGAUGUGAGCAUUGAGGAAACCCUGCCUAUAUUUGCUGAAAGCAAUUAAUGUUGGUUGCUCAGUUAAACGAAUCAACACCUGUACCCGACACAAGAACAGAUGGCAUUAUUUUUGUAUUUUUGCCAGCACUGAUGUUAUACCACAGCAUAGUAAAUCUACAAGUAAUGCACCUAAAUUUAAAAGACACUGUGAGAGAAGAAUGCUGGUGUGGUGAAAAAUUAAUCAUUUUCUUACAACGUUUGAGUCGAGGAAGAACAAAAGUCUACAGAUCCUACAAACUCAAUUUCAAAAUCUGAGCACUUGUUAUGGCAGAAAUUGUGUAGUAGUUUGAUGUGAUAUUUCCUGCCUGAAAGCAAAGGACUAUACUCUGCAGUGAUAAGAUUCUGCAUUUCACUUAGCUACUUCCCAUUUCUAUGUUCUUCCCCACCUGUGCAUCCCAGAAUCCCCUUCCAUCCACGCCAUUAGUGUUGCCAGCACAACCCCUUGCACGGACAACCUAUGGAGAAAAUCAAGGAACUAAUCUGACCAAAAAAUCACCUCGCAAAACAGAAGUUUCAAAAUUCAGAUUAGUAUCUACAUGCUGCCCUCCUUUCCCGGGUAGUUGUCUUUAUACAACUGAUGGUAUUACACAGGGCCAAGGCAAAGAAAUAAGCAACAUGAAAACACAGUUCACAGUGGGGCUUGCGUUUUUAAUCCAUCAUUGAUUAAUAAACUAGGAUUUAAAUUGAA